GGCAAGUCGGCUUUUAUUGCGCUCUGAGAAAAUUUAUUGUCAUCUGAGAUCGCGAUUAAAGCUGGUUUUCCA
rnacentral:pre_miRNA from 1 species